rnacentral:rRNA from 1 species
AGCGAACGCUGGCGGCAGGCUUAACACAUGCAAGUCGAACGCCCCGCAAGGGGAGUGGCAGACGGGUGAGUAACACGUGGGAACGUACCCUUUGGUUCGGAAUAACUUGGGGAAACUCAAGCUAAUACCGGAUAAGCCCUUAUGGGGAAAGGUUUACUGCCGAAGGAUCGGCCCGCGUCUGAUUAGCUAGUUGGUGAGGUAAUGGCUCACCGAGGCGACGAUCAGUAGCUGGUCUGAGAGGAUGAUCAGCCACACUGGGACUGAGACACGGCCCAGACGCCACCGGGAGGAAGCAGUGGGGAAUAUUGGACAAUGGGGGCAACCCUGACCCAGCCAUGCGGCGUGAGUGAUGAAGGCCUUAGGGUUGUAAAGCUCUUUUACCCGGGACGAUAAUGACUGUACCGGGAGAAUAAGCCCCGGCUAACUUCGUGCCAGCAGCCGCGGUAA